UUGCGGCCACAUCACGUUGAAGCACAGGUUCCCUUAUGUUCACCGAAGUUAAGCAACGUCGUGUCUGAAAGUACUUAAAUUGUUGAGUGCUAGGGAGUACCAGGUGCUGUG